rnacentral:sRNA from 1 species
UUAGAGCACUGUUCGGGAAGGAUGAAGAAUCUUCGACCCGCAGGGCGAGGCCACAGGCCGAGUAAUCCUUCCCCCACCACCC